ACGCAUACUGCCUUCCUCAUUUUGUGGAAGUUUCAAAGUUUAGACGUGAAACUGUGUUUAGAUCGAAUUUAUGCUUUUAGAUCGAAUCUAAAGUUUUUUGUGAUUACUUUGAGCUGUACAAUAGCAGCACACGCUUUAUACUUGUUCAAACAAGUGAUUUACGGAAUUGACCGCCGAGACGUAAAUCCGUUUCUUCGUACGUAACAUCGGAUUUCAGUUUAAAUGCCGACAUUCGGUUUUCAUCGUUGCUGCAAACUGCCCGCGAUAGAUUGGAUUGAAACCUCGCUAGUAUCAUCAACUCUCAUAUUUUGUCCCAUCAUUCAAACGCGAGCUUUCGGGUUUUUAAUCGCGAAAGGUUUUCCACUGCACCUAAUUCAAUUUCCCUCUUAGUGCUCUCGAUCCUAAACAGAACUAUGCCCGAGCUGAAAGCCGGAGAAACUCGGUGGAGGCCCGGCCAUAUGACGUGGCAAAUCGUUCAGUCCGGACUUGGUAUAGGGGCGAAAGACUAAUUGAACCAUCUUAGCAGCUGGUUCCCUCCGGUUUCUCAGGAUAGCUGGAGCCCACGUGCAGAAGUUCUAUCGGGUAAAGCAAAUGAUUAGAGGCAUCGGGGCGCAAUGCCCUCGACCUAUUCUCAAAUCUUUAAAUAGGUAGGACUUACGCGGUUGUUUCGUUGAUGCCGCGUCGCUGAAUCGAGCUCCAAGUGGGCCAUUUUGGUAAGCAGAACUGGCGAUGCGGGAUGAACCGAAGGCGGGUUACUGCGUUCAACUGGCGUCAAGCAACCCGCACACCACAAAGGUGCUGGUCGACAUUCGAAGAGGACGGUGGUCAUGGAAGUCGAAAAUCGCUAAGGAGUGUAACAACUCACCUGCCGAAUCAACUAGCCCCGAAAAUGUAUAUGCUUGAAGCGCUGAGCCACCCCGGCCAUCGGGCAAGCGCCAAGCCCUUUGGCGAGUAGGAGGGGCCCGGCGGGUCGCGAAAACCCAGGGCGCAGUUCCGGCUGAGGCAGCAGCCAUCAGAUCUUGGUGGUAGUAGCAAAUAUUCAAAUGAGAACUUUGAAGGCCGAAGAGGGGAAAGGUCCCAUGUGAAUGGCACUUGCACACGGGUUAGCCGAUCUCUAAGGACGGGAAAGCCCAUCCUAGAGCCAGCCUUUCAGUUCGAAGGAAUCCAAGUUCAUUCCCAGAGCCGACGCUGGCAGGACUGCAAACGCGAGGAAGUCCAGAGAUUUUGGGCUCGAAGAGUUAUCUUUUUCUGCUUAACGUCUACCUUACUUGAAACGGUCUCAGCGAGGAGGUAGGGUCUAUGGUCUAAGCAUGCCACUGUCAAGCCUUAGCGCUUGGUCAUAAAAUUUUAAAUCCAGAAAAUCGAGGCCGCUCAAGGCCGCCCUCAUAACCCCAUUUGGUCUCCAUUUGAACAGCCUCUUAUUCCCAUGGAACAAUGUAGGGAAGGGAAGGCGGCAAACGGAUCCGUAAUCUCAGGAAAAGGAUUGCCUCAGGGCUGGGCACGGGGUCCCAGCCCAACCCGUGGUUGUUUUGGGACUGCUCGACCUACUCGCUCGAGAAAGCUGGUCGCCGCCUUGUCCAGCAGGACGGACAGAAUAAGCCCCCCCUUUCCGAUUCAAAUAGUGGGCUUCUGGUACCUGUGCGGAUGACUGAAUCAUUUGGUCCCCAAAGCGAUGGUCCCACGAUGUUCCACGAUGAUUUCCUUCGCCGUUUCGAAUGUCAAGUGAAGAAAUUCAACCAAGCUCGGUAAACGGUGGGAAUAACUUGCGACUCUCUUUAAUUGCUUCAAUGCCUCACACAUCUAAUUAGUGACGCUGCGAUGAAUGGAUUAACGGAAUUCCCACUGUCCCCGCUUACUAUCCAUAAAACCACCAAGGGAACCGGUUGAGAAUCCCGUGGGGAAAAGGACCUGUUGGAGCAGACUGGUCUUGCCUUGUGAAAUGACUUGAGAGGUGUAGGAAGGGAGCCGGUUCCGCAGAAUGAAGUGAAAAUACCACUACUUUUAACGUUAUUUUACUUAUUCUGUGAGUCGGAGGCGCGGGUCUGCCCCUCCUUUUGAUUACGUUCCCUUUAGCGGCCAAUCCGGGCGGAAGACAUUGUUAGGUGGGGAGUUUGGUGGGGCGGCACAUCUGUUAAAAGAUAACGCAGAUGUCCUAAGAUGAGCUCAACGGAACAGAAAUCCCGUGUGAACAAAAAAGGUAAAAGCUUGCUGAUUCUGAUUUCCAGUGCGAAUACUUAACCGUGAAAGCGGCCUAUCGAUCCUUUGACCUUCGAAUUUUGAGUUAGAGGUGUCAGAAAAGAUACCACAGGGAUAACUGGCUUUGGCAGCCAAGCCGCUCAUAGCGACGCUGCUUUUUGAUCCUUCACAUGUCGGCUCUUCCUAUCAUUAUGAAGCAGAAUUCACCAAGUGUUGGAUUGUUCACCCACCAAAUAGGGAACGUGAGCUGGGUUUAGACCUGGCGUGAGACAGGUUAGUUUUUACCUCAUCGGAUGAUCGUCGCCGAGUAGUAAUUCAACCUAGUAGUACGAGGAACCGUGAUUCCACAAUUGGUCAUCGCCAUUUUGGUUGAAAAGCCGCGCUUAAGUUAAUGCGGUGUUGAUUAUGACCGAACGCCGCAGUCAGAAUCCUUAGCUAGCAACCGGCGCCCGCCUGCCGCUCGGCCCGACAUUGUAGGGGCUUUAAUACCGCGUGUAGUUCGUGGUGGUAUAGCCACGAAGCGCCAUCGAAGUGAAUUCAGACGGAUUCGACGUAUUUUGCAUACUGAAUUUAAAUACGCUGAAGGGUAUUGU
rnacentral:rRNA from 1 species